rnacentral:rRNA from 1 species
CACGUAGGGGACGAGCGUUGUCCGGAUUCAUUGGGCGUAAAGCGCGCGUAGGCGGCUCGGAAAGUCGGCCGUGAAAUGCCGGGGCUCAACCCCGGGACUGCGUCCGAUACUUCCGGGCUGGAGGUAGGUAGGGGAGAUCGGAAUUCCUGGUGUAGCGGUGAAAUGCGCAGAUAUCAGGAGGAACACCGGUGGCGAAGGCGGAUCUCUGGGCCGAUACUGACGCUGAGGAGCGAAAGCGUGGGGAGCGAACAGG